rnacentral:rRNA from 1 species
AUGGACCUCCAGCCGUUCGUGGACAGUGCAGCGGGGCAUCUACCAACGUGGAAAGCCUCCAUGCUGAGGCAUGCGGGGCGGCUUGUGUUGAUCAACUCGACGCUCACAGCCACGGCAAUAUACCCAAUGCUGGUGCUUGAUCUGCCGCAAUGGUUCCUGGCAUGUAUCGAUAAGCUAUGUAGGGGAUUUUUCUGGCGCGGGUAUGAGGAAGCCAAGGGUGGCAGCUGCUUGGUGAACUGGAAACUUGUCUGCACGACCAAAGAAUUUGGUGGCCUAGGGGUGAAAAACUUGAAGGUUAUGAAUAAUGCUCUAAUGCUCAAGUGGUCAUGGCUAGAGAAGGUGGGCCAGGACAAACCAUGGGAGGGGAUGCGCAUUACAGUUCCAUCGAAGGCUAAAGCUGUGGGGGAGGCAGCAAUGCAGUGUGUGCUCGGGGACGGUCAGAGAUUGCAAUUCUGGUCUGACCACUGGAUUAAUGGGAGAUGCGCGAAGCAGAUUGUCCAGUGGUCUUCGCCAGGCUUGGCAAUGCCAAACAUGCGUAGCCGGUAG